CCUACGGGAGGCUGCAGUGAGGAAUAUUGGUCAAUGGACGAGAGUCUGAACCAGCCAAGUAGCGUGAAGGAUGACUGCCCUAUGGGUUGUAAACUUCUUUUAUAUGGGAAUAAAAUGUUCCACGUGUGGGAUUUUGUAUGUACCAUAUGAAUAAGGAUCGGCUAACUCCGUGCCAGCAGCCGCGGUAAUACGGAGGAUCCGAGCGUUAUCCGGAUUUAUUGGGUUUAAAGGGAGCGUAGGUGGAUUGUUAAGUCAGUUGUGAAAGUUUGCGGCUCAACCGUAAAAUUGCAGUUGAAACUGGCAGUCUUGAGUACAGUAGAGGUGAGCGGAAUUCGUGGUGUAGCGGUGAAAUGCUUAGAUAUCACGAAGAACUCCGAUUGCGAAGGCAGCUCACUGGACUGCAACUGACACUGAGGCUCGAAAGCGUGGGGAGCAAACAGGAUUAGAUACCCCAGUAGUC
rnacentral:rRNA from 1 species